rnacentral:rRNA from 1 species
AUUGAACACUGGCGGCAUGCCUUACACAUGCAAGUCGAACGGCAGCACGGGUGCUUGCACCUGGUGGCGAGUGGCGAACGGGUGAGUAAUAUAUCGGAACGUACCUUAUUGUGGGGGAUAACGCAGCGAAAGCUGUGCUAAUACCGCAUAAUCCCUACGGGGGAAAGCGGGGGACCGUAAGGCCUCGCGCAAUUAGAGCGGCCGAUACCUGAUUAGCUAGUUGGUGAGGUAAAGGCUCACCAAGGCAACGAUCAGUAGCUGGUCUGAGAGGACGAUCAGCCACACUGGGACUGAGACACGGCCCAGACUCCUACGGGAGGCAGCAGUGGGGAAUUUUGGACAAUGGGGGCAACCCUGAUCCAGCAAUGCCGCGUGAGUGAAGAAGGCCUUCGGGUUGUAAAGCUCUUUUGUCAGGGAAGAAACAGCAGCUCUAACACAGUAUGCGAAUGACGGUACCUGAAGAAUAAGCACCGGCUAACUACGUGCCAGCCGCCGCCGUAA